rnacentral:piRNA from 1 species
UACGAAUGCUUAUCCAUUUCAUGUAAACGG